GUCUUGGUAGCUCGAAGGACGAGCCCUUCGCUUUUAAUGAAGUGGACCAGGUUCGAUUCUUGGCCAAGACA
rnacentral:tRNA from 1 species